GACGUAGGGGGCGAGCGUUGUCCGGAUUUAUUGGGCGUAAAGCGUGCGUAGGCGGCUUCGCAAGUCGGGUGUGAAACCCCGGGGCUCAACCCCGGAACUGCAUCCGAUACUGCGUGGCUAGAGGUAGGUAGGGGAGAUCGGAAUUCCUGGUGUAGCGGUGAAAUGCGCAGAUAUCAGGAGGAACACCGAUGGCGAAGGCAGGUCUCUGGGCAUUAACUGACGCUGAGGAGCGAAAGCAUGGGGAGCGAACAGG
rnacentral:rRNA from 1 species